rnacentral:misc_RNA from 1 species
GAUGAAGAACGUAGCGAAAUGCGAUACUUGGUGUGAAUUGCAGAAUCCCGUGAACCAUCGAGUCUUUGAACGCAAGUUGCGCCUCAAGCCAUUAGGUUGAGGGCACGUCUGCCUGGGCGUCACAUAUCGUUGCCUGAUGCCAGUUUCCUCGUGAUGGGUGACUGUGCAGGGCGAAUGAUGGCUUCCCGUGAGCAUUGUUGCCUCAUGGUUGGUUGAAAAUUGAGUCCUUGGUAGGGAGCGCCGUGAUAGAUGGUGGUUCAGUGACGAACGAGACCCAAUCAUGUGAGACCCCUACCGAAUUUGGCCUUCAUGACCCACAUGCGUCUUUGGAACGCUCAUGACGAGACCUCAGGUCAGGCGGGGCUACCCGCUGAGUUUAAGCAUAUCAAUAAGCGGAGGA